rnacentral:tmRNA from 1 species
GGGGCCGAUCAGGAUUCGACGGGGAUCGCGAAACCCAAGGUGCAUGCCGAGGUGCGGUUGGCCUCGUAAAAAAACCGCAAACAAAUAGUCGCAAACGACGAAAACUACGCACUCGCUGCCUAAUAAGCAGUAGAGAGCCUUUCCCCCUUAGCCCGCCUAUCGGCUUUGGAUCCGGAAAGUCACCCUAGAUAGGAUCGCGUGGAGGCUUCGCCUGGAGCCAAGACGUUAAAACCAAUCAGGCUCGCUACCUGAAAGCCUGUCGUUCGGCGUUCUACGUAGUUAACUAAAAGAACUGACUAAGCAUGUAGUACCGAGGAUGUAGGGUUCACGGACGGGGGUUCAAAUCCCCCCGGCUCCACCA